rnacentral:rRNA from 1 species
CACGUAGGUGGCGACGUAAGUCGGGUGUGAAAUCCCCGGGCUCAACCUGGGAACUGCAUUCGAGACUGUGUUGCUGGAGUACGGAAGAGGAGGGCGGAAUUCCCGGUGUAGCGGUGAAAUGCGUAGAUAUCGGGAGGAACAUCAGUGGCGAAGGCGGCCCUCUGGUCCAGUACUGACACUCAAGUGCGAAAGCGUGGGGAGCAAACG